UCCCCCCUCUUCCCUCUUCUCUCUUCCCCAAGUGCUGCAGCCGCCCCCUCUCCAUUCUCAAGUUUUUUGCAGCAGCCAUCUCCUCAACCCUAGCCGCCACCCCCCAUCUCCUCUUCUCCAAGUGUCGUUCUUCCUCGUCGGAUCUUCUUCGUGUGGGUGCAAGUUUCAAUUGGAGAAUUGGUGGGAGGAAGGAAGGAGGAAUGAGGUGGAACUCAAGGUGAUCUUGAAGUUAUCUAUGUUUUUGCGCUAAAAUUCAAUUGAUUAUAUGUUUAUCUAUGCGAAUCGGUAGAGGUGCUGUCCAGAAUUUUUGUGCGAGGGCGAACAACAGUAGUUCUAGGGAUUUAUGGGAAUUUUUCGUGGGCAAUUAGUGGGGAUCAGUGGGAGAAUCAUGUAGAGCUUUGUCACACCUUUCCAACGAGUACUUAUGUGCUCGAUUCGGAGUUAUAAUUUAGGAGAUAUCGUUGUUUGAAUCCGGUUAUGUUGCUGUCCAAAAAAACAGAUUUUUCAGGUGGGUGAACAGCAGUAGUAUUAGCUGUUUCUGGGAAUUUUUCGUGGGUAAUUAGUGUUAACCAGUAUUAUAAUCAUGUAGGGCUUUGUCUUAUCUUUCCAAUGAGUACUUAUGCGCUUGAUUUGAAAUUAUAUUUUAAAAGAUAUCGCUGUUUGAAUCCGGGUAUGUCGCUGUCCAAAAGACAAAAAAAAAACAGAUUACAGGGUUCAUCUUGUGGACUGUUUUGGGCUAAUUAGAUGUUGAAAUUUAAUUAUAAAUUGUAUACAAAACUUGUGGGGAAUUUUAUGUAGAUGACUCUGGAGUUUUUGUUUGUUACCACUGCUGUCAUAAUUUUAAAGUUAUGAAAUUAUUAAGCAGCGCCGCUGCAGUUUGGUGGGUGUGGGGAGAGAUGUAACCCGCGGUGGGGUUUGAGUUUGUGCAUAGGUGCGGCGUCGUUUAUGAGCCUGAUUAUGUGAAAUUGGUGCACUAAGUUGUGUGUCAAAAAAACAGGUGGUGGACUUCCGGAUCGUACUUAGGGAUUUGCCCGAACUUCCGGUAAAGGCAAGUAAAUAUAGUGGUGGUUGCUACCGUUUGGUUUGCAUCCUAUUCCCUGUCAUUGAGUAUGCAUAAGUUUUAAUUAUGUUAAUCAUUGAAUUCUAUGAUGAAGUUUAUUUGUUUGGAAGUAUUAAUUCUCAAUUGUCUAAUAUUGUGGAUGAUCAUAAUUUGGUUAUGAUAUAUGUGGUUGAUUCCCAUCUUGGAUGAAGUUGAAGUAUCUUUUUUGAAUCACGUUAUAUGAAGUGUUGUAGGCAUGACAUGCACAUCGCAUCAUCCAUCUUGCAUUUUGAAGUUAUGUCGUGAUCUUAUGGUCCGACCGUAUCGGUACAUUUUUAGCAUCGUACGUUGCCCGAGGAGGGGUACGAUGCGGCUUCAUAUCCUUAGAGGUAUGAAGGCAGAAGUCAUCCUUGCAUUUACAGACAUUUGCACUCAUGAGGUAUAUAUGAAGUGUGACAUUACUAUGUUACUAUUGUGGUUUCUACCUGCGAGUUGUGGUGACUAGGUGUGUUGUACGUUGUAUACGUGCUGCACCGUCGUAAUAAGAAAGUUGUGGAAUCAAGUGGUGGUAAAACAAUGUUCUUAUGUGGUUAAACAGUUUGAUAUUAUUUUACUUGCUGAGAUGUGUCAUCUCACUCUUCCAUUACUCAAUGCAGGUACUUGAUACAUGUUGGGAAUGAGGGGAGUAGCAGCACG
rnacentral:lncRNA from 1 species